rnacentral:tRNA from 1 species
AGCGGGGUAGAGCAGCGGUAGCUCGCCGGAGUCAUUGUCCGGAGGUCGGAGGUUCAAAUCCUCCCCCCGCGACCA